UGAACGCUGGCGGCGUGCCUAACACAUGCAAGUCGAGCGAGAUACGCUUGCGCAGAGAUUCGUCAAAGCAAGAGCGUGGACAGCGGCGGACGGGUGAGUAACGCGUAGGUAACCUGCCUUUGGCUGCGGGAUAGCCCGGGGAAACCUGGAUUAAUACCACAUAACGCGGAGGAGUCACAUGGCUUCUUCGCCAAAGAUUCAUCGGCCAGAGAUGGACCUGCGUCUGAUUAGAUAGUUGGUGAGGUAACGGCCCACCAAGUCAACGAUCAGUAGCCGACCUGAGAGGGUGAUCGGCCACAUUGGAACUGAGACACGGUCCAAACUCCUACGGGAGGCAGCAGUGGGGAAUAUUGCACAAUGGGCGCAAGCCUGAUGCCAGCAACGCCGCGUGAGCGAAGAAGGUCUUCGGAUCGUAAAGCUCUGUCCUUGGGGACGAAGGAGUGACGGUACCCAAGGAGAAAGCCCCGGCUAACUACGUGCCAGCAGCUGC
rnacentral:rRNA from 1 species